rnacentral:rRNA from 1 species
GACGAACGCUGGCGGCGUGCCUAAUACAUGCAAGUCGAACGCUGAAGAGAGGAGCUUACUCUUCUUGGAUGAGUUGCGAACGGGUGAGUAGCGCGUAGGUAACCUGCCUUGUAGCGGGGGAUAACUAUUGGAAACGAUAGCUAAUACCGCAUAACAAUGGAUGACACAUGUCAUUUAUUUGAAAGGGGCAAUUGCUCCACUACAAGAUGGACCUGCGUUGUAUUAGCUAGUAGGUGAGGUAAUGGCUCACCUAGGCGACGAUACAUAGCCGACCUGAGAGGGUGGUCAGCCACACUGGGACUGAGACACGGCCCAGACUCCUACAGGAGGCAGCAGUAGGGAAUCUUCGGCAAUGGGGGCAACGCUGACCGAGCAACGCCGCGUGAGUGAAGAAGGUUUUCGGAUCGUAAAGCUCUGUUGUAAGUCAAGAACGGGUGUGAGAGGGGAAAGUUCACACUGUGACGGUAGCUUACCAGAAAGGGACGGCUAACUACGUG